GUUAAUGUGUAUUAGAUGGAUAAUUGAUGAAUCACAGCUACCUGGAUAGAAGCAUUUCCAGAAAUAUUUGUAAAAGAACAAAGGAACAUUUUUGGAAACUGGUGAAAAGUCAAUGUUAGUUGGAUCCCUUUUCUCCUAUGAAAUUUAUUCCAUUCCAGUCAUUCUUUGAGGGAGGAAGGAAGUCAAAAGCAGAAAUACCUGUUCUAAAUGUUUAGUAGCUUUGGCAGGCUUUUGACCUGAGCAGUCAAUUCUCCUAACAUCAUAUAGGCCUAGACUAGAGGCAAGAUGUGUGCAGUGAAGUAACAUUUAUAGGUCUUGACCUCCAGAAGCUUCAGAAGCACUUGACAGAGUUGAGCAGCUAAGGAAAGAAUUUGGGAAUGUGUUUACUCGGUUAUGUUUCCUGACCAGUCCUCAUACCAAUGAGUUUUCCAUAAGUGGAAUUUUCUGCAGAAGGCCGGUGAGGAGCUAAGAAACACUCUCCACCAUUGAGACUGCUCUCAUAGUUUGUAAAUUACCCCAUUGCCUCUGCACUUCUGAGUUCUGCUGGUUGGGAUUUUCAGAACUGGUUUAGGGUUGACCUGGCCAGCAGUCAAGAACCCACACAGCUGCUCACUCACUCCCCUGUGGGAUGGGGGAGAGAAUAGGAAGAGCAAAGUAAGAAAACUCAUGUGUCAAGAUUAAGAAAUUUUAAUAAGCCAAGAAAAGAGCAAAAAAAACCUGAGUGAUGCCAAGGCCUCCCACUAGCAGACCAGUGCCCAGCCAGUCCCUCAGCAUUGGCCAACUUGGAAACACAACCUCUGCUUCUAUCUCUACUGCCAGUUUUUACUGCUGAGCAUGAUGCUAGGUGGUGUGGGAUGUCCCCUGGCCAGAGCUGUCCUGGCUACCCAGUACACUGUGCUCCCUCUCAACCUCUCACCCACCCUUGGUCUGCUUGCUGUGUGAGGCAGAGAAAGUCUGGACACAGUGCAAGAGCUGUUCAGCAGUA